AUAUCAAAGGGGCAAAUCCAUUGAAAAAUGGAGACGCAAAACUACAGGGGCUACCGGUUUUCUAACCAUGCCAGCCAGUUGCUAAC
rfam:Bacillus coagulans 36D1, complete genome.